UGGGGAAUUUUGGACAAUGGGGGCAACCCUGAUCCAGCCAUGCCGCGUGUGUGAAGAAGGCCUUCGGGUUGUAAAGCACUUUCGGCCGGAACGAAAUCGCGCGGGCUAUUACCCCGCGUGGAUGACGGUACCGGAAGAAGAAGCACCGGCUAACUACGUGCCAGCAGCCGCGGUAAUACGUAGGGUGCGAGCGUUAAUCGGAAUUACUGGGCGUAAAGGGUGCGCAGGCGGUCCUGCAAGUCAGGCGUGAAAUCCCCGGGCUUAACCUGGGAAUGGCACUUGAAACUACGGGACUGGAGUAUGGCAGAGGGAGGUGGAAUUCCACGUGUAGCGGUGAAAUGCGUAGAGAUGUGGAGGAACACCGAUGGCGAAGGCAGCCUCCUGGGCCAAUACUGACGCUCAUGCACGAAAGCGUGGGGAGCAAACAG
rnacentral:rRNA from 1 species